rnacentral:miRNA from 1 species
GGGUCCCGGGGAGGGGGG